ensembl:snoRNA SNORA70 Small nucleolar RNA SNORA70
CUGCAGCUUAUUAAGCCGACCAGGCUGGUCUGCUGUCCAGCUCUGGUGUGCAAUGGCUGCAGACAGUGACCCUCUCUGGUUGUGUAUGUUUCCGGCUGUGAGGUGCUGGACACGCGAAGGGACCGUUGAGACAGCU